rnacentral:rRNA from 1 species
CGUCAAAUCAUCAUGCCCCUUACAUCCCGGGCUACACACGUAAUACAAUGGCGCAGAACAGAGGGAGGCAAAGCCGUAAGGCGGAGCGAAACCCUAAAAGGCGUCCCAGUUCGGAUCGAGGGCUGCAACCCGCCCUCGUGAAGUCGGAAUUGCUAGUAAUCGCGGAUCAGCAUGCCGCGGUGAAUACGUUCCCGGGGCUU